rnacentral:rRNA from 1 species
CCCUUAGAUGUCCUGGGCCGCACGCGCGUUACACUGAUGCAUUCAACGAGCUUAUAACCUUGGCCGAGAGGCCUGGGCAAUCUUGUUAACGUGCAUCGUGAUAGGGAUAGAUUAUUGAAAUUAUUAAUCUUGAACGAGGAAUUCCUAGUAAACGCAGAUCAUCAAUCUGCAUUGAUUACGUCCCUACCCUUUGUACACACCGCCCGUCGCACCUACCGAUUGGAUGGUCCGGUGAAGCCUCGGGAUUGUGGUUCUUGCCGCUUUAUUGAGGCGUGACCGCGAGAACUUGUCUAAACCUUAUCAUCUAGAGGAAGGUGAAGUCGUAACA